rnacentral:tRNA from 1 species
GGUUGUGGCUCAGUGGUAGAGCACUUGCCUAGCACAUGUGAGGCACUGGGUUCAAUCCUCAGCACCA